rnacentral:rRNA from 1 species
GACGAACGCUGGCGGCGUGCUUAACACAUGCAAGUCGAACGGAAAGGCCCUGCUUUUGUGGGGUGCUCGAGUGGCGAACGGGUGAGUAACACGUGAGUAACCUGCCCUUGGCUUUGGGAUAACUUCAGGAAACUGGGGCUAAUACCGGAUAGGAGCUCCUGCUGCAUGGUGGGGGUUGGAAAGUUUCGGCGGUUGGGGAUGGACUCGCGGCUGAUCAGCUUGUUGGUGGGGUAGUGGUUUACCAAGGCUUUGACGGGUAGCCGGCCUGAGAGGGUGACCAGCCACAUUGGGACUGAGAGACGGCCCAGACUCCUACGGGAGGCAGCAGUGGGGAAUAUUGCACAAUGGGCGGAAGCCUGAUGCGGCAACGUCGCGUGCGUGAUGACGGCCUUCGGGGUGUAAACCGCUUUCGCCUGUGACGAAGCGUGAGUGACGGUAAUGGGUAAAGAAGCACCGGCUAACUACGUG